rnacentral:rRNA from 1 species
UACGUAGGGAGCAAGCGUUGUUCGGAUUUACUGGGCGUAAAGGGCGCGUAGGCGGCAAUUCAAGUCAGCUGUGAAAUCUCCGGGCUUAACUCGGAACGGUCAGCUGAUACUGCUUUGCUAGAGUGCGGAAGGGGCAAUCGGAAUUCUCGGUGUAGCGGUGAAAUGCGUAGAUAUCGAGAGGAACACCUGAGGUGAAGACGGGUUGCUGGGCCGACACUGACGCUGACAGCGCGAAAGCCAGGGAAGCAAACGGG